UACAGAGGUCCCAAGCGUUGUUCGGAUUCACUGGGCGUAAAGGGUGCGUAGGCGGUGUGGUAAGUCUGACGUGAAAUCUCCGGGCUCAACCCGGAAACUGCGUUGGAUACUAUCACACUAGAGGAAUGGAGGGGAGACUGGAAUACUUGGUGUAGCAGUGAAAUGCGUAGAUAUCAAGUGGAACACCAGUGGCGAAGGCGAGUCUCUGGACAUUUCCUGACGCUGAGGCACGAAAGCCAGGGGAGCAAACGGG
rnacentral:rRNA from 1 species